rnacentral:rRNA from 1 species
GACGAACCGUGCUAACGUUGUUCGGAAUCACUGGGCUUAAAGGGCGCGUAGGCGGGCCGGCGAGUCAGGGGUGAAAGCCCGCGGCUCAACCGCGGAAGCGCCUUUGAUACUGCCGGCCUCGAGGGGGGUAGGGGCGUGCGGAACUUCCGGUGGAGCGGUGAAAUGCGUAGAUAUCGGAAGGAACACCGGUGGCGAAAGCGGCGCGCUGGACCCCUUCUGACGCUGAGGCGCGAAAGCCAGGGGAG